AAAUUAUUAUUAUUAUAAUCAUCAUUGUCGUUGUUGUUAUUACAUAUCACUCCAACCUGUAAACCCACGUUUCUUAUUUAAACUCCGAUUCACUUUAAAUAAAUUUAAAAAAAAAAAGAACAGAAAUUUUUAAUUAAAAAUUCAGUGUUAUUUUGUGAGCAAGUGAUGACAUUUUAUUAAUUAUAUAAAUAACUGCUAAUUGCCCUCCAAUUGUCACGUGACAGGUGAAAUUAAGUGAAAGUGUCUAAAAAUAAUAAAAAAGAGAAAUGGCGAGUAUAGAUCCUUUAAUUAGAGGCGAGAUUAAAGAUUGGAGGAAAAAUAUUAUCAAUCAGCUGAGAAACAGAAAUAAAUCUCAAACUCGCUGUUUUGCUGAUUUAAUUUAUUUGCACAACCGUUUAUUUGAGAGCACCAACACUCUAAGGGGUGAAAAUUUGCAACUGACAGUUGCAAUAGAGAAGCUAAAGUGUGAAGUUGUUGGCACCGGGACUGGAACUGGAGCAAAUGCAGCUCUGGAGGCGAGAUUAUUGGCACAAGCCGAGGAACUUACGAUGCUGCAUCGGAGACGGGGGGAACAUACUCAGCAGAUCGUCGAUUUGAAUAACAAGAUGCAGGAUAUGAUGAAGGACCUUCAGAGCAAGGAGUCCAGCUUAGCAGAAAGUCUGGAACUAAACGCAUCACUGAGAGCUGAAUUGAAUACAUGUGUAAAUAGAGAACGUGAGCUAGCAGAAGCAAAUCAGAUGCUGAGAGACGAAUACCAAGCGCUGCAAUUAGCUUUUGCUUCGCUGGAGGAAAAAUUACGUAAAGCUCAGGAGGAAAACCGACAAUUAGUCGAGAGAUUAAUAAAAUGCAAGACCAAAGACGCCGAAAAAAUGAACGAGGAAAACGACAAUUUUCUAAACGAGGGAUUUACCAGUCCGACGACAUUUUUCAUGCAAACACUAUCGAAAUUUGGAAAGCGACAAGCAAAAGUACAAAAGGACCUGGAGGAUGCAGCCCGGGAUACCAGAGCAAUAAGUCCAGAGCGGACUAGUGUCAAGGAGGGAAUCCCGGGACUGCCUACUGCAGUACCGACAGACGUAGCCGUUAAAUUUAGUGCUCAUGAUGGUGAAGUUAGUGCUGUUAAAUGGUCUCCAGUUGACAGGAUAUUGGCUACUGGUGGUGCUGAUAGAAAAGUUAAACUUUGGGAUAUUUCAAAAGGAACAUUCGAGAGCAAAGGAAUGUUAAUAGGAAGCAACGCUAGUGUAAUGUCAGUGGAUUUCGACUCGACAGGUACUUUAAUCCUCGGAGCGUCGAACGACUUCGCCAGCCGAGUUUGGUCGGUGAAUGAUCUGCGUCUGAGGCACACCUUAACAGGACACUGCGCUAAAGUCCUGGCAGCUAAAUUUCUAGGAGAGCCUUCCAAAGUGGUCACUGGCAGCCACGAUCGCACCCUAAAAAUUUGGGACCUUCGAAGCCGUGCUUGCAUUGAAACCAAAUUUGCCGGAUCGAGUUGCAACGACCUUGUCACCUCUGAUGGAGCUGGAUCCACCAUAAUCAGCGGUCACUUUGACAAGAGAAUCAGAUUUUGGGAUACCAGAGCCGAGUCUAGUUCCAAUGACAUCCUGUUGCAGGGAAAGGUCACGUCGCUUGAUUUAUCACGAGACGCCAAUUAUUUAUUGAGUUGCGUGCGAGACGAUACGGUCAAGCUCCUUGAUCUACGUAUGAAACAAAUUGUUGGAUCAUUCAGCGCGGACGGAUUCAAGGUGGGCUGCGACUGGGCGAGAGCUACCUUCAGCCCGGAUGGACAGUAUAUCGCGGUCGGAUCAGCUGAUGGGAGUGUUUUUAUUUGGAAUGUCAUCACCAACAAAAUUGAAACGAUACUCAGAGAUCAUACAAUUGCGGUGACAGCAGUAGCUUGGCAACCCCAUGGAACGUAUCUAGCAUCUGUGGACCGCGCUAAGAUGGCAACUGUUUGGGGCAACCAUGUCUGAUACGAAGCUUGUAGACAAGACAAAACUGAACAAACCGCCCUUUUAUUAUUGUUUUACUCUUCCAUUAUAUACAAUAGACUUAUUAUUAUUAUUAUUAUUAUUAUUAUCAUAACUAUUAUUACUCUACAAUUAUCUACAUAUAUAUAAAUAAAUAUAUAUA